UGGGGAAUCUUCCGCAAUGGACGAAAGUCUGACGGAGCAACGCCGCGUGAGUGACGAAGGCCUUCGGGUUGUAAAGCUCUGUUGUCAGGGAAGAACGUCUUCUAUGUGAAUAAUGUAGGAGAGUGACGGUACCUGACGAGGAAGCCACGGCUAACUACGUGCCAGCAGCCGCGGUAAUACGUAGGUGGCAAGCGUUGUCCGGAAUUAUUGGGCGUAAAGCGCGCGCAGGCGGGAAAGUAAGUCUACUCUAAAAGUGCGGGGCUCAACCCCGUGAUGGGGUGGAAACUGCUUUUCUUGAGUGCCGGAGAGGAAAGUGGAAUUCCCAGUGUAGCGGUGAAAUGCGUAGAUAUUGGGAGGAACACCAGUGGCGAAGGCGACUUUCUGGACGGUGUCUGACGCUGAGGCGCGAAAGCCAGGGGAGCGAACGGG
rnacentral:rRNA from 2 species